AUGUCCCCCGGGUAUCGCGGAGUCUCUGGCCGAGACGCCGCCUCUCCUGCUUUGAAAGCGGCCUGGACGCGCUGCCGUCCCACCCGUGUUCGCGGUGCGCAGAGACGAAGGACGAAGCGCGCUCACCCUCCUCGAGCCGAGCGGACGGACGGUGACGAUCUCGGGCUGACAGAUCCCCUCUCCGGUUGCCUUUGGCCUCGUCCGCGUGGCGCCCUCCUCUUGAGCUGCUGGCGUGGGCACGUGGUCCCUCUGUCCCCGAGAUGCCGUAGCCUCCCGUCUCCCCUCAGACAGAGGGUGUGUUUGCGUGAGCUCGGUGUUGGCGAGCGCGAGCGCGUCCCGGGCGCUGGGGCGAUGCCUCGCCCCGUCCUGGGGGACCGUCCCCACCGACCGUCUCUGGCCCUGUGGGCGGCCGUCUGCCUCGGGCCGCUCUCGCCCACGUCCCCAGCCCUCCCCGUCUCCCCCAUCGCCGCCACAGCCCACCCUGCAGGGCUCUGUAACCCGGCCCAGCUGCGAGCCGGGGCCCCGCGCCCCUACCCUGUAGCUCGCUUCACCCCUCAUCCUCGUGAGGGGACGGGGGGGGGCUGCAGGUGUCAUCCGGUCACCCUUGGGGGAACCUCAAAGGGGGGGAACCUUUGGGGCGCUGAACAGCAUCUGCCUGCUGCUCCCUCUGCAAGCCCCUCCCCCUCACUGGGGUGCACGGUGGCCCCUCCACCCCCGCCCCCCGUGAGUCCGGCCGGGCCUCUGCUGCCGGUUUGGGGGCAUCCUGCUGGGGCCCUGGCGGGCACCUGGCCUGCUCCUGUCCCUGAGGGUGUGGUGGCAGCGACAGGGCGGGGUGGGGCGGGGGGGGGGCGCCUGUGCUCCGCAGCGUGCUCAGCUGUUGUGCGUGGCCUUCCCCACCCCGACGCCCCCUGUGCCAUCAGACGGCUGCUUUGGACCCGGGAAGGCAGAGAGGGAUCAUCUGGCCGCUGGAAGUCACCGGCUUUCAAGGUAGAACAGGCUGACAAAGGAGACCGUGGGGUCCUGAGCCCGCGGUACCAGAACGGCGUCUGCUCUGUCACCUCUGGCCGGGCCCUGGGCUCUGAGGUCCUCGGGGCGAGCCGGGGACAGGCACGUGCUCGGUGA
rnacentral:lncRNA from 1 species